AUUGAACGCUGGCGGCAGGCUUAACACAUGCAAGUCGAACGAGUGGCGGACGGGUGAGUAAUGUCUGGGAAACUGCCUGAUGGAGGGGGAUAACUACUGGAAACGGUAGCUAAUACCGCAUACUAUCGGAUGUGCCCAGAUGGGAUUAGCUAGUAGGUGGGGUAAAGGCUCACCUAGGCGACGAUGCCUAGCUGGUCUGAGAGGAUGACCAGCCGACCUGAGAAUGAGACACGGUCCGACCUCCUACAGGAGGCAGCAGUGGGAAAUAUUGCACAAUGGGCGCAGGCCUGAUGCAGCCGUGCCGCGUGUAGGGAGAAGGCCCUAGGGUUGUAAAGUACUUUCGGUCGGGAGGCGUUACCGACUGAAGAAGCACCGGUUAACUCCGUGCCAGCAGCCGCGGUAAUUC
rnacentral:rRNA from 1 species